CAGUGUAGGAAGGUGGGUAUGGUUAAUAGCUAUACUCAUUUGACGUUUAGCUGCAGAAGAAGCACCGGCUAACUCCGUGCCAGCAGCCGCGGUAAUACGGAGGGUGCGAGCGUUAAUCGGAAUUACUGGGCGUAAAGCGCAUGCAGGUGGUUUGUUAAGUCAGAUGUGAAAGACCCGGGGCUCAACCUCGGAAUUGCAUUUUGAAAACUGGCAAACUAGAGUACUGUAGAGGGGGUAGGAAUUUCAGGUGUAGCGGUGAAAUGCGUAGAGAUCUGAAGGAAUACCGGUGGCGAAGGCGGCCCCCUGGACCAGAUACUGACACUCAGAUGCGAAAGCGUGGGGAGCAAACAGGAUUAUAUACCCUGGCAG
rnacentral:rRNA from 1 species